AACUUUAAAUACAAAGCAUAAACAAAAGAUGAGAAAUCUGAGAUAAACAUUACUUCAAAAAAUUAAAAAUACUCUAAACGUUUUUUUAAGGAAACGUAAAAGCUUAAGAUAUUUAUUAAAAUUUCAAUCAAUUCCCUCACGUAUCCCCAAAAUUAAUGUAAUAAAAUUGAGCAUAUUAUUUAUUAAAAAUAACCUACUCUAAAACAUUCAAAAAAUAAACUUUUGCAAACAGAGAAAAAAAAACAAGAAUUA
rnacentral:lncRNA from 1 species